rnacentral:rRNA from 1 species
GACGAACGCUGGCGGCGUGCCUAAUACAUGCAAGUCGAGCGAACAGACGAGGAGCUUGCUCCUCUGACGUUAGCGGCGCACGUGUGAGUAACACGUGGAUAACCCACUUAUAAGACUGGGAUAAUUUCGGGAAACCGGAGCUAAUACCGUAUAAUAUACUGAACCGCAUGGUUGAAUAGUGAAAGACGGUUUUGGUGUCACUUAUAGAUGGAUACGGGCCGCAUUAGCUGGUUGGUAAGGUAACGGCUUACCACGGCAACUAUGCGUAGCCGACCUGAGUGGGGGGUCGCCGACAUUGGAGCGUAGACGGCGUCCAGACGCCUGCGGGAGGCAGCAGUAGGGAACCUUCCGCAAUGGGCGAGAGCCUGGCGGAGCAGCGCCGCGUCAGUGAUGACGGUCUUCGGAUCGUAAAGCUCUGUUAUGGGGGAUGAACAAAUGUGUCAUUAACUAUGCCCGUCUUGACGGUAACUAGUAAGAAAGCCCCGGCUAACUACGUG